GAGCAGGCUGUGAGCUUCUGAUGAGUAAUUUUUGUGGCAGGUAUGCCCUGGAUGGGGUCACUGUGACAAGGCUGGGGCCCUGGGGACGCAAGCAUGGCAACAUGGAGAAGGGGCUCACCUGUACUCACUCUCUUGUAGGUCCCAGGUGACUGUGGAGGAGGUCAUGACACCCACCCCAUACCUGGACCUCUUCCUGCGCAGCAUCUCAGAGCCCGCACUGCUGGAGCUCUUCUUGCGCUUCAUCCUGCUGCACCAGCAUGAGAACGUGCACAUCCUGGACACUCACCAGCCGGAUCAACACCCCGUUCCGGCUCUGUGUGGUGUCCCUGGCAUUAUUCAGAACUCUCAUUGGUUUACAUUGUGAAGACGUGAUGCUCCAGCUAGUCUUAAGAUGACUACAUCGAUUGAUUGGAUUUGUAUGCAUCGAGUGCCCUUGAGAAAUUUUAUAGGUAGGGCCUCAACAGAACCAACAAAUGGGAUCCUCCUGAGCAGGAAGGCAGGGGCAGACCAAAAGAUGAUAUUGCUGCAUUAUUUGGCCUUUAUGGAAUGAGCCAUGAGGAGCCUCAGGAAAAUCGAUUAUUGAUGUGGUAUAAUAAGUUGAGUAAGACUCCACUAUGUAUACCUACCACAUCAUCUUUAUCCAUCUGUCAGAUGACAAGCACAUAGGCUGAUUCUACAACCUAACUAUGAUGAGGACUGACUGCCAUGGGUAAAUAAGUCUGUGCAGGGAUGUUUAGACAUGAUUGUAUCUUCUCAAGAAAUCUACAAAUUCAGAGCCUGUUGGUGCUUCUCUACGGAGAUGUAGAGUGCCUGUGAGGAGCCAGGAAGUCCAGAUACCAGCGAUGGAUCCUGUGAUGGGAACAAAGGUACUAUUCCUCAAAGACACUUCCUGAUGCCAGGGCUAACAGGCCCAGCCCUGAGGUGUACCACUGCAGACCCAACUGUUCAUCCUGGCCUAGCCAGUGUCCUUCUUUUGGAUGGAGUCUAUCACAUGAGCUUGGAGGACACAGAACUUUUGGGAACCACCAGUCAUUCAUGCUUACUGCCUGUCACAGCUCACCUGCAGGAAGAGAGAACAAACCCAAGACAAACCAGAGAAGCAGAGGCAGUGGUAGCCAGGAUGCUGAGGUCAAGGGUCAGUGGUCCCUAGAGGGGCCAUGGGGACAGCCUUCCUGAGAUCCUCUGCUGGGUGAGGGUUUCCUUUCCCAAUGUUGGUUUUGGCUUUCCAAACUACUACAAUUGCUUCAAUAAAUUAUUUUAUACUUCA